GUGAGGAGGGACUUGGCCCUCCAGGGGCUCUCAGGACCUGGAAGGAGGCGCAGGAACUGGUCUAGAGUGCUGCUGGCUCACGGGGGUUUCAGCCCCCAUGCCUCCUCAGGGUCUUAGGUCUACCAGGCAGUUCAUACAUCGCCUCCCACUUCACAGCAACUGCAAAGGAAGGUGCAGUGCCCUUUGUACAGACGGUAAAACCGAGGCUCGGGGUUUCUGACAUUUCUCCUGUGGAGUACUUUGCCGGAUCACAUGGAAGUGGCCUGGAGUGUGUAGCUGGAAAAAAGCAUCUUGAAGAAUUUGGAUACAUUUCCUCUCCUUUUGAGAGCCAGUGACAUGGAAACAAGUUGACUCUAGUGAAAAAGUGUUUACAAAGACUUUGGAUGCAAACAUGGCCUGAGGUCUUAGACGUGAGAAGAGCCUCACACUUGGAGGAAGGAUGGGUAGCUUCAACCAGCGGGAGACACAAGUAGAUUGGUAAAGAGGAAGAAGGCCGGUUGCCCUCUUGCUGUGGUGGCCCCCAGGUGGAGGCUCUUGUCUGCUGUUAUUGCUGGGGUUCUAGCUCCCUGGGCAGCCCCAGAUCCCAAACCAGCACCAGCCUCUUCUCUUGUCACCUCUCUACUCUUAGGAGUGGCAGCAGCUUCCACUGGGUUCACCUCUGGGUUGUCUGGCUUGGCAGUGCUCCAUCAGCUACAUAACCAACCUCCUGUAUUA